rnacentral:rRNA from 1 species
UACGAGGGGUGCAAGCGUUGCUCGGAAUUAUUGGGCGUAAAGGGGAGGUAGGUGGUCUCAUUUGUCUGGGGUGAAAGCCUUGGGCUUAACUCAAGAAGUGCCCCAGAAACGGUGAGACUAGAGUCCUGGAGAGGGUCGUGGAAUUCCCGGUGUAGCGGUGAAAUGCGUAGAGAUCGGGAGGAACACCAGAGGCGAAGGCGGCGACCUGGACAGGUACUGACACUCAACUCCGAAAGCGUGGGGAGCAAACAGG